rnacentral:rRNA from 1 species
CACGUAGGGGGCGAGCGUUGUCCGGAUUUAUUGGGCGUAAAGGGCUCGUAGGCGGCUCAGUAAGUCGGGUGUGAAACCUCCAGGCUCAACCUGGAGACGCCACUCGAUACUGCUGUGGCUAGAGUCCGGUAGGGGAGCAUGGAAUUCCUGGUGUAGCGGUGAAAUGCGCAGAUAUCAGGAGGAACACCGAUGGCGAAGGCAGGUCUCUGGGCCACUACUGACGCUGAGAAGCGAAAGCAUGGGGAGCGAACAGG